GCGUGGUGCACGUGUGUCAGAUUCUGUGCUGUUUACAACACUUAUUUGUGGCGAAGGUGAAGUAGGACUGUCAAAUCCGUACAUAAGACUUGGUUCCAACAGCUCAUUAGGCAUGUGGAGUAGGCAUUGAGUGUGUAUGGACAUGUUUUUCAGGCGUAUAGGGAAAUUUCACUCUUAAACCAGCACUCUGACGCCGCUGGGCCGGGAAAGCGUGAGUUGCCAGACUAUCUUAAGUGGCUUAAUUUUAUUCCUCUCAUUUCAAAUCAUGUAAGACUGUGUAGUGUCUGAACCUGUUUAAUCUUAAUUAGUAAAAGCAAUAUUGUUCGGAAUGGCAAAUUUUCAGGGACGGACGCAAAAAUCAGCGUGAGUAGUGGAGAUGAAGGCGAGGGUUGGCAGUGUGGCAGCGCGCCUCCCUGCCUUAUCCUGCGUCAUGUAUACCAACCCAGACCCCACAAUGCACCGCUGCCAGGACAUCACCCCAUCACUCCAUCAUGUUACAGGGGACGUGUAGAUGCGAGCAUCCUUCUACACCACACCGCGGGAGGAAUAAUUGUCACCCCUGGCCAUUCUUCGCAGCUCCUCGCCACUACUACCACCGCCACCGCUACCGUUCAUAUCGUCACAUCUAAUCCCGCCCUUAUACCUGUUUUCUACUAGGCUCUCCUUGUACCCAUUUUUUCCUUGUCUCUCCUCAGCACCGCCACUUCCUUUCCCGCCCACAGUCCCUCACUUACCACCAAUGUCAAAGCUAACACCACUGCCAUUAUUACUGCUAUUACCACUGCACUUGUCUGCUUUCCCUUCCCACUUCGUCUCCCCUACCGUCUCACCAACUCUUCGCCCCCACCAGGCAGCAUCCACUAGUCUCUCUCUCUCUCUCUCUCUCUCUCUCUCUCUCUCUCUCUCUCUCUCUCUCUCUCUCUCUCUCUCUCUCUCUCUCUCACCAGAUUACCUAUUUAUACUGUGAUUUGGCCCAUUUUAUAGACGAUUGCUCCCGAGUGGAAGGUGUGAGAAGAAUAUUUGUCAGCGUCGCAAGGGACUCUCGCUUCCGUCUUGCGUUGAAAAGAGCAGACUAAUGUAACUUGUGCUUAUAGACGUAUUUUUGUUACGUGUGUUAGUUUUGUGUGGUGGUGGGGUCGGUUUUAUUGUUUAGUUAUGUUAGGUUAUCUUUGGUUUGCUUUGGCUUAGGUUAGGUUAGAUAAGGUUAAGUUAGGUUUGGUUGGAUUAGGUUAGUUUAGUUUAGUUUGACUUAGCUAAGGUUAGGGUAGCUUACGUUAUGCUAUGUGGCGUCAUGAUAUGCUUGGUUAGGUUAGGUUAGAUUACAGUAGGUGACCUUAAGUUGCGUUGCAUUACAUUGCUUUACUACGAUAUUUCAUGUUAGGUUAAAUUACGCUGUUUUACGUUGGGUUACGUUGUGUGAGUCGUAUUACUAAACACUUAAGUUAUUUUAA